GACGGAGGGGGCUAGCGUUGUUCGGAAUGACUGGGCGUAAAGGGCGCGUAGGCGGUGCUAUAAGUGAGGCGUGAAAGCCCUGGGCUUAACCCAGGAGGUGCGUUUCAUACUGUAGCGCUAGAGUGCGAGAGAGGAAAGUGGAAUUCCUAGUGUAGAGGUGAAAUUCGUAGAUAUUAGGAAGAACACCAGAGGCGAAGGCGGCUUUCUGGCUCGCAACUGACGCUGAGGCGCGAAAGCGUGGGGAGCAAACAGG
rnacentral:rRNA from 1 species